AUACGGAGGGUGCGAGCGUUAAUCGGAAUUACUGGGCGUAAAGGGUCCGUAGGCGGUCUGCUUAGUCUGAUGUGAAAGCCCCGGGCUUAACCUGGGAAUGGCAUUGGAUACUGGCGGACUAGAGUCUGGUAGAGGGUGGUGGAAUUCCCGGUGUAGCGGUGAAAUGCGUAGAUAUCAGGAGGAACACCAGUGGCGAAGGCGGCCACCUGGACCAAGACUGACGCUGAGGGACGAAAGCGUGGGGAGCAAACAGGAUUAGAUACCCCAGUAGUCC
rnacentral:rRNA from 1 species